CAGCAGCCGCGGUAAUACAGAGGGUGCGAGCGUUAAUCGGAUUUACUGGGCGUAAAGCGUGCGUAGGCGGCUUCUUAAGUCGGAUGUGAAAUCCCUGAGCUUAACUUAGGAAUUGCAUUCGAUACUGGGAAGCUAGAGUAUGGGAGAGGAUGGUAGAAUUCCAGGUGUAGCGGUGAAAUGCGUAGAGAUCUGGAGGAAUACCGAUGGCGAAGGCAGCCAUCUGGCAUAAUACUGACGCUGAGGUACGAAAGCAUGGGGAGCAAACAGGAUUAGAUACCCCGGUAGUCCCUGUCUCUUAUAA
rnacentral:rRNA from 1 species